rnacentral:rRNA from 1 species
UGACAGUACUCCUACGGGGAGGCAGCAGUGGGGAAUAUUGCACAAUGGGCGCAAGCCUGAUGCAGCCAUGCCGCGUGUGUGAAGAAGGACCUUCGGGUUGUAAAGCACUUUCAGUCGUGAGGAAGGUAGUGUAGUUAAUAGCUGCAUUAUUUGACGUUAGCGACAGAAGAAGCACCGGCUAACUCCGUGCCAGCAGCCGCGGUAAUACGGAGGGUGCGAGCGUUAAUCGGAAUUACUGGGCGUAAAGCGCAUGCAGGUGGUUUGUUAAGUUCAGAUGUGAAAGACCCGGGGCUCAACCUCGGAAUAGCAUUUGAAACUGGCAGACUAGAGUACUGUAGAGGGGGGUAGGAAUUUCAGGUGUAGCGGUGAAAUGCGUAGAGAUCUGAAGGAAUACCGGUGGCGAAGGCGGCCCCCUCGGACAGAUACUGACACUCAGAUGCGAAAGCGUGGGGAGCAAACAGGAUUAGAUACCCUGGUAG